AAACUUUCAACAACGGAUCUCUUGGCUCUGGCAUCGAUGAAGAACGCAGCGAAACGCGAUAAGUAAUGUGAAUUGCAGAAUCCAGUGAAUCAUCGAAUCUUUGAACGCACAUUGCGCCCGCCAGCAUUCUGGCGGGCAUGCCUGUUCGAG
rnacentral:rRNA from 2 species